UAGUCCACGCCGUAAACGAUGAUCACUAGAUGUCGGGAUUUCUCGGUGUCGCAGCUAACGCAUUAAGUGAUCCACCUGGGGAGUACGAUCGCAAGGUUGAAACUCAAAGGAAUUGACGGGGGCCCGCACAAGCAGUGGAGCAUGUGGUUUAAUUCGAUGCAACGCGAAGAACCCUACCUGGGCUUGAAACGCAGUGGACAGACUAUGAAAGUAGUUUUCNCUUCGGAGUCGCUGUACAGGUGCUGCAUGGCUGUCGUCAGCUCGUGCCGUGAGGUGUUGGGUUAAGUCUCGCAACGAGCGCAACCCUUACCAUUAGUUGCCAUCAGGUUAAGCUGGGCACUUUAANGGGACUGCCUACGUAAGUAGUGAGGAAGGUGGGGACGACGUCAAGUCAGCAU
rnacentral:rRNA from 1 species